GCGAACGCUGGCGGCAGGCUUAACACAUGCAAGUCGAACGGGCGUAGCAAUACGUCAGUGGCAGACGGGUGAGUAACGCGUGGGAACGUACCUUUUGGUUCGGAACAACACAGGGAAACUUGUGCUAAUACCGGAUAAGCCCUUACGGGGAAAGAUUUAUCGCCGAAAGAUCGGCCCGCGUCUGAUUAGCUAGUUGGUAGGGUAAUGGCCUACCAAGGCGACGAUCAGUAGCUGGUCUGAGAGGAUGAUCAGCCACAUUGGGACUGAGACACGGCCCAAACUCCUACGGGAGGCAGCAGUGGGGAAUAUUGGACAAUGGGCGCAAGCCUGAUCCAGCCAUGCCGCGUGAGUGAUGAAGGCCCUAGGGUUGUAAAGCUCUUUUGUACGGGAAGAUAAUGACGGUACCGUAAGAAUAAGCCCCGGCUAACUUCGUGCCAGCAGCCGCGGUAAUACGAAGGGGGCUAGCGUUGCUCGGAAUCACUGGGCGUAAAGGGUGCGUAGGCGGGUUUUUAAGUCAGAGGUGAAAUCCUGGAGCUCAACUCCAGAACUGCCUUUGAUACUGAAAGUCUUGAGUAUGGGAGAGAUGAGUGGAACUGCGAGUGUAGAGGUGAAAUUCGUAGAUAUUCGCAAGAACACCAGUGGCGAAGGCGGCUCACUGGCCCAUAACUGACGCUGAGGCACGAAAGCGUGGGGAGCAAACAGGAUUAGAUACCCUGGUAGUCCACGCCGCAAACGAUGAAUGCCAGCCGUUAGUGGGUUUACUCACUAGUGGCGCAGCUAACGCUUUAAGCAUUCCGCCUGGGGAGUACGGUCGCAAGAUUAAAACUCAAAGGAAUUGACGGGGGCCCGCACAAGCGGUGGAGCAUGUGGUUUAAUUCGACGCAACGCGCAGAACCUUACCAGCCCUUGACAUGUCUAUGACCGGUACCAGAGAUGGAACCUUCCCUUCGGGGCAUAGAGCACAGGUGCUGCAUGGCUGUCGUCAGCUCGUGUCGUGAGAUGUUGGGUUAAGUCCCGCAACGAGCGCAACCCCCGUCCUUAGUUGCUACCAUUUAGUUGAGCACUCUAAGGAGACUGCCGGUGAUAAGCCGCGAGGAAGGUGGGGAUGACGUCAAGUCCUCAUGGCCCUUACGGGCUGGGCUACACACGUGCUACAAUGGCGGUGACAAUGGGAUGCAAAGGGGCGACCCCUCGCAAAUCUCAAAAAGCCGUCUCAGUUCGGAUUGGGCUCUGCAACUCGAGCCCAUGAAGUUGGAAUCGCUAGUAAUCGUGGAUCAGCAUGCCACGGUGAAUACGUUCCGGGCCUUGUACACACCGCCCGUCACACCAUGGGAGUUGGUUCUACCUGAAGGCAGUGCGCUAACCGCAAGGGGGCAGCUGACCACGGUAGGGUCAGCGACUGGGGUG
rnacentral:rRNA from 1 species